UACAGAGGGUGCGAGCGUUAAUCGGAAUUACUGGGCGUAAAGCGCGCGUAGGCGGCUUUGCAAGUCGGGUGUGAAAUCCCCAGGCUAACCUGGGAACUGCAUUCGAGACUGCAUUGCUAGAGUAUGGGAGAGGGAAGUGGAAUUUCCGGUGUAGCGGUGAAAUGCGCAGAUAUCAGGAGGAACACCGGCGGCGAAGGCGGCACUCUGGGCCGGUACUGACGCUGAGGAGCGAAAGCGUGGGUAGCAAACAGG
rnacentral:rRNA from 1 species